rnacentral:sRNA from 1 species
CACAGUCUCCCUCUCAUCCCUCUUUUUUCUCCCCUUUUUCUCCCUGUUUUCUUCUUCAACGGAGGAAGCUGUGCAUUUUGCACCUAAUUUGGAUCAAAGACCAACAAGUCUUUCUUCUUGUUCCUCUAACCAGAGAUAGCUCUCUUUUUCACAAAAAUCCCAAAUCAAGGUAAUAGAUUUCUGGGUUUCUGGAGAAGAGCACUGUGGAUUUUUGGAGGUCUUUCGUUUUUUUGCCUACAAAUUUCUGGAGAAGUGCACAGCAACCCAAGCUUAUUGGAAGCUUAAUUGAAUGAACUCAUCUCUGAAGCAAAGAGGGGGUUGGGUUUGCGGGACGGAAUCGGCAGAGCCGUUUCAGAUUUGGUGACUGGAGAAGAGGGCGGAAGGUAUGAUUUGGUAACUGGGUUCGCGGGAAGAAGGAGAUCCGGGAUGCAUGCUUGCAGACGACGUGGGCGCUAGAGACGGGAUUAGCAAUCCGCCAGUUUUCGGGGGUACUAGCGAAGAACAGCUAGUGAAGCUUUUAGUCGGUGCGAGUCCGACUUAGUCUCAUUAAAGGCAGCGCCAAACACGGGCUAGGACUUCUAUCUAAGGUAGUCCUGUCCAGUGAGAUCUAAAGAGGCCAAACAAACGUGCCCUAAAUGUCAUGGCCUACAAAUUGUGGCUUAAUCUAAAUAGAAUGGGUUCAGUUUGCAUUACUCUAAAACCAUGUCCAACUUGUAUUUAAUCCUAGUUUACAUAUGAUAUACAUAUAUCAUAGUGACG